GAUGAACGCUGGCGGCGUGCCUAACACAUGCAAGUCGAGCGAUUCUCUUCGGAGAAGAGCGGCGGACGGGUGAGUAACGCGUGGGUAACCUGCCCUGUACACACGGAUAACAUACCGAAAGGUAUGCUAAUACGAGAUAAUAUGCUUUUAUCGCAUGGUAGAAGUAUCAAAGCUUUUGCGGUACAGGAUGGACCCGCGUCUGAUUAGCUAGUUGGUAAGGUAACGGCUUACCAAGGCGACGAUCAGUAGCCGACCUGAGAGGGUGAUCGGCCACAUUGGAACUGAGACACGGUCCAAACUCCUACGGGAGGCAGCAGUGGGGAAUAUUGCACAAUGGGCGAAAGCCUGAUGCAGCAACGCCGCGUGAGCGAUGAAGGCCUUCGGUCGUAAGCUCUGUCCUCAAGGAAGAUAAUGACGGUACUUGAGGAGGAAGCCCGGCCGUAACUACGUGCAGCAGCCGCGGUAACAAUACUCGUA
rnacentral:rRNA from 1 species